rnacentral:rRNA from 1 species
UACAGAGGUCUCGAGCGUUAGGCGGAAUCACUGGGCUUAAAGCGUGUGUAGGUGGAUCGGUAAGUACCUUGUGAAAUCCCACGGCUUAACCGUGGAACUGCUUGGUAUACUGACAGUCUUGAGCCAGCUAGGGGCUACCGGAACAAAUGGUGGAGCGGUGAAAUGCGUAGAGAUCGGCAGGAACACCCAGGGGGAAACCAGUCGACUGGGCAUCUACUGACGCUGAGGUGCGAGAGCGUGGGGAGCGAACCGG